rnacentral:rRNA from 1 species
UACGUAGGGGGCAAGCGUUGUCCGGAAUCAUUGGCGUAAAGCGCGUGUAGGCGGCUCGAUAAGUCUGCUGUGAAAGUUCAGGGCUCAACCCUGAAAUGCCGGUGGAAACUGUCGGGCUAGAGUCCGGAAGAGGCGAGUGGAAUUCCUGGUGUAGCGGUGAAAUGCGCAGAUAUCAGGAGGAACACCAAUGGCGAAGGCAGCUCGCUGGGACGGUACUGACGCUGAGACGCGAAAGCGUGGGGAGCAAACAGG